GGGGAACGGCAGCGAGCGGCGGGGGAUGGUGGCGAGCGGCGGCAGCAGGGAAAUGGCGGGGAAUGGCAGGGGAGCGGCGGGGGACAGCGGGGGACAGCGGCAAGUGGCAGGGGAUGGCAGCGAGCGGCGGGGAAUGACAGAGAACCACGGGGGACGGCAGCAAGUGGGGCGGAUGGCAUUGAGCAGCGGGGAACAAUGAGGGACGACGGGGAACGGCAGCAAGAGGGGGCAAGUGGCGGCAGCGGGGGAACGGCAGGGGACGGCGGUGAGCGGCGGGGGACAACACGGCACAGCGGCGAGCGGCGGUGAACAGUGGGGGACGACGGGGGACGGCGUCGAGCGGCAGGGAACGACGGGAGACGGCGGCAAGGAGGGGCGAGUGGUGGCAGCGGAAGAACAGCAGGCGAUGGGGAAUGGCAGCGGACGGCGGCGAGCGGCGGGGGACAGCGAAGAGCGGCGGGGGAUGGCGGAGAGCGGCGGGGGACGCCGGCAGAUGACGGGGGAACGGCAGGGGACAACGGGGGACAGCGUCGAGCGGGAACGACGGGGAACAGCGGCAAGGGGAGGAACAGCAGGAGAUGGGGAAUGGCAGCGGACGGCGUCGAGCGGCGGGGACAGCGUCGAGCGGCGGGGGACGGCGGAGAGCGGUGGGGCACGCCAGCAGAUGACGGGGGAACAGCAGGGGACAACGGGGGAUGGCAGCUGGAGGGGGCAAGCGUUGGCAGCGGGGGAAACGGCGGGGGAUGGCGGGGAAUGGCGGCAAGCAGCGGGGGACUGCAGGGAACGGCGGGGGAUGAUGGGGGACAGCGGCAAGCAGCGGGGAACAACGGGGGACGACGGGGGAUGGCAUCAAGCGGCGGGGAACAACGAGGGACGACAGGGGA
rnacentral:lncRNA from 1 species